GCAGUAGCUGUAGCGGUGGCAGCAGUGUUGGAUCACCGCCGGCGUCAGAUCACCCCAGCUGUGGCUGCAGCGGUGUCAGAUCACCCCGUUACAGCAGCAGUGUCGGAUCACCCAAGCUACGGCAGCGGUGUCGGAUCACCCCGGGUGGCACCUGCAGUGAUGAUUCAGCUUUGGUGACCCCCGCAGCGGUGGUGACUAUCCAGCUUUGGUGAUCUGCGACUGCGACUGCAACUGCGACAAUCCAGCUUCUGAAGCGGAGGCAGCCAGCAGUCCGCAACCCCGGCAGAGGCAGCGGCUGUGACCGUGGCAGUGAUGAUCCAGCUUUGGUGACCCCCGCAGCGGCGGUAACUAUCCAGCUUUGGUGAUCUGCGACUGCGACAAUCCAGCUUCUGAAGCGGAGGCAGCCAGCAGUCCGCAACCCCGGCAGAGGCAGCGGCUGUGACCGUGGCAGUGACUAUCCAGCUUUGGUGACCCCCGCAGCGGCGGUAACUAUCCAGCUUUGGUGAUCUGCGACUGCGACUGCGACAAUCCAGCUUCUGAAGCGGAGGCAGCCAGCAGCGACUACCCAGCUUCCGCAACCCCGGCAGAGGCAGCGGCUGUGACCGUGGCAGUGACUAUCCAGCUUUGGUGACCCCCGCAGCGGCGGUAACUAUCCAGCUUUGGUGAUCUGCGACUGCGACUGCGACAAUCCAGCUUCUGAAGCGGAGGCAGCCAGCAGCGACUACCCAGCUUCCGCAACCCCGGCAGAGGCAGCGGCUGUGACCGUGGCAGUGACUAUCCAGCUUUGGUGACCCCCGCAGCGGCGGUAACUAUCCAGCUUUGGUGAUCUGCGACUGCGACUGCGACAAUCCAGCUUCUGAAGCGGAGGCAGCCAGCAGCGACUAUCCAGCUUCCGCAACCCCAGCAGAGGCAGCGGCUAUGGCCGUGGCAGUGGCAGUGGCUGUGUCCAUGGCAGUGAUGAUUCAGCUUUGGUGACCCCUGCAGCGGCCGUAACUAUCCAGCUUUGGUGAUCUGCGACUGCGACUGCGACAAUCCAGCUUCUGAAGCGGAGGCAGCCAGCAGCGACUAUCCAGCUUCCGCAACCCCGGCAGAGGCAGCGGCUGUGACUGUGGCAGUGAUGAUCCAGCUUUGGUGACCCCUGCAGUGGCAGUGACUAUCCAGUUUUGGUGACUACAGAGGCAUGGGCAGCUAUCCAGAUUUUGGGAUCUCAGCAGCGGGGGCAGCGGUAGUGGUGGUAGAACCAGCCGCGAUGAUCCAGCUUCCGCAGCCCCGGCAGAGGCAGCGGCUGCGGUGGUGGCAGUGACGACGGCAGUGCGGCGGCGAUCCAGCUUAAGAGACCCCAGGAGCAGUGUCUGCAACAAUCCAGCUUUGGGGACCUCGGCAGCUGCAGCAGCGGUGGUAGCACCAGCAGCAAAGAUCCAAUUUCCUCAGCCGGGGAAAAGGCAGCAGCUGUGGCGGUGGCGGUAACAAUCCAGCUUUGGUGACAGUGGCGGCGGCAGCGAUCCAGCUUAGGGGACCCCAGGAGCGAAGGCUGCAGAGCCUGCAACAAUCCAGUUUUGGGGACCCCGGCAGCGCCUGCUGCAGCGGCAGAGGCAGCAGGGAUGAUCCAGCUUCGGUGACCCUGGCGCCAGAAGCGGCCUUCUCCUCCCGGCUUGCUUAGAAGGGUCAUCCAAGUCCAGUAAGAAGACAGAAGUCAAGAUGACUGAUGAUGGCCCAAGAUGCAGUGGAUGACUAACAAAGCCGUUGGAACAAAUUGCUUUCAUCUAACCAUUCUUUCAUGAGAAGUCUUCACAUUUGGGGGGCUCACAUUCCUUUAACUCACUGAUAAGUUUGAGACUGAUUUGAACCUAGGACCUCCUGUCUCCAAAACCUUACUCUCUCUCCACCUAGCUGCCCCUCUGAGCCCUUUUCCAAGCUGCUUUCCUCCUUUGGUAUCCAUCUGCCAUUCAUCUCUCACCUGUGGCAUGUGCAGCAGCCACAUCCUGGUAAAGCCAUCUCUUCAGAGAGGUCUCGAGCUCAUCAGUCAUCUUGAUUUUUGCUUGGUUUCUAAUGGUUCUUGAUGUUUCAUUUUGUUUUUAAAGACAGAAGGGAAAUGCAUCUUCUCCUCUCUCCUCUUCAGCUAAGCUUGGUCAUUAGGCUAUAAUUACACUUUGCUAUUUCACUCCUAUUUACAUCAUUAAAGUGAAUUAGAGUAUCUUUCCUGGUUUUGCUUGCUUCACUCUGAAUCAGUCCAUAUAAAUACAAAAACUCCAGUUUCUACUCAAAAUGGCUGCCCAGACACAUGGGAGACUACCUCACUCCAGUACGCUAGACCCAGUUCUAACUGAUUUGCAAGAGACAAUUGUUACUAUAAAAGACUUGAUUUUUUGUUUUGUUGAUGGUGUAGACUUAAGAAAAAUGAUGAAGAAAAUAAUAGUGCAUAUUAAAUUUAAAAGUGUCUUCUGUACUUUUUUUUGAGAGCCAAUAAACUUAUAUUAAGCACCUA